UAAUUUCAGGCUAAUCUCCAAACUCUCGUUCAUCAAAAUAAUAAUAAUUUUAAAAAAUUCCAAACACGGUGAUUCCGCUACAACAUGCCGGGUGACAGCCGUGCCGUCAACGACCCGUCAGCCGUACCGGUCGAAUCGUCAGCAGCGGAGCACAGCCCCCCCGCCGGUCAGCCAAAUCUGCCUGACUCGACUUCCUUCCCCACCCCGCCCUCCUGAAGUUGUAAACCUAGGGGAAACACUGCAUAGUCUAGCAGCUAGCUUAGCCGUGCAGCUAGCUUGUAAAGUGUUCCGUUUUCCACUCAUUCCCCUUCUGUUUGACACGUGGAGAAAUUCCUCUGCUUGUUUCCCUUCCAAUGCAAAAAGCUAUCUCCAUCUUCAACUACCGCCUCGGACUCUGCGAUCAAAGAUAACUGACUGCAGCUAGCAGCGGUUUAUUUUCCGGUUUCUGGAACAUCUUUGGAGUUGAGGUGGGAUUAGAGUUGUGCAGCGACAAUACGUUGCAGUUUCUUUGACAAGAAGGCAAGAUUGAGAUGGGCCGCAGGGUCCUCAGAAUAGCAGGCUGGUAGUUUGGAGAGCUUCCAGCCUGUUUGCCUGACAACCCCUACAGGUCUGCUAACCAGACGGAAAGAUCCCCGCAGGGUAAACAGGUGGGCUUGUGCUGGCUAGCCAGACCGACCGCUGUGGCCACAACCUGGAAGCACUGGGGCUAGCAGGCUAAAUACUCUUCUAAGUUAAGUUGAAAGCUUGUAUGAGUGUUCUAACGUUUUCCCCUGGUGAAUGCAACCAGAGAGCUAAAAACUACUAAAAGCUUAAAAAAUAAGAGACAGCAACAUCGAGGCUGCCCUCCACGGUCAUCUUAGAUUCGAGAACAGUGCACACUGUACUCACAAAAACAAAAAUCUCAAAAGCACCUUCGUUGUUUGAAAUGUCUACUUCCUGUUACCAGUAGUUGGCGCUAUGACUUUGAUUCCAAUUAACAUGUCUUCAGGCCCAAAUUCUGAAACAUUUGUAAUUGAAAAGGAUCUGAUCAUGUGGAGUAGAGUAAAAACGGAUUGUUCUUGGCAAAGGAUCUUUGCCGAUACUCCCACUCGCCGCCAUUUAUCAGAUUAUUAUAAUAUUCAAAGUGAAGGAUUAUGAAGGUCUGCGAUCAACUUUUGAGAGACAUCAGAUUAACCUGUAAGGAGCAGGGUGUAAAGUAAAAAUCAUUCAACUUGGGUAAGGAAGUCAAGAUAUAUGAGAAAUAUUCAAUUAAUUUUAUUUUGUAUAGCCUAAAAUCGCAAAUGAUAAAUUUCCCUUAAAAGGCCUUACAGUCUGUACACAUGCAACAUCCUCUGUCCUGAAACCCUCACAUCAUCAAGGGAAAAACUCCCCAAAAAAUCCUUCCAUGGGGAAAAAAGGGAAGAAACCUUAGGGAGAACGUCAUAGGAGGGAUCCCUCUCCCGGGAUGGACAGACUGCAAUGGAUGUCAUGUGUACAGAAUACACAAUGUAAAAGAUGUACAAUACAUUGUACAAUGUACAAUACUUAGCAUUGGACGGGUCCUCGCUACUCCUUGCAUGUUGGGGCGCUGGCCGGACGGUUACAAAUGCGGCCGAGGACACCUGCACCCGUCGGAUGAAGCGUUCGCAAGUGUGGAGCAAUGCCAGGAAUGCCGCUUUCCAAACUUUAUCUUUGACAUUAUCAUGGUCUUAGGCCUUUUAUGUCAACAUAUAACCAGGACAUUCUGAUCUACCAUUCCAAAAUUAAAGUCUCUCAAAAUACCAUACAUGAGCUGUAUGCAUUCCUUCAAAAUAUUUCACAGGACUACUUUUGGUCAAUUUCAGGUUAUAAAUAAAAGGUAACUAUAAAUAUAAACAGUAAUUCCACUUCAGGCAGAGAGUAAAGAUCACCAGGGUGUGACUUGGUGAUAACCAAAACAUUCUGAUGUAUCGGUCCAAAAUAAAAGCCUCUCAAAAUACCAUAAAUGAGCCAAUUUCCUUCAAUAUCCCAAUCACAGGAAGAAAUGUUGAUAUCUCAUUUUUCAUUAAAAUUAUGGACCAAUGAAUUUGUAACGGGUGUGUCCUGAAAAUUGAAAGGCCUAAAACUUUUUUUUUUCCAACCUCAAUUUUCACCAAAUCUUUAGGACAUGUUCACAUUGAGUCCUAGAACAUCCCCAAUAUUUUCAGAAUAUUUGAACAUUAGGGGGCGCUAUAGUGAUUCUCUGUAUUUUUUGCAAUUUCCUUCAAUUUUUGCAUUUACAAACGAACAAACUCCUCCGAGAGUUUAAAUCCGAUCUAUUUCAAACUCUGGAAAGUUGAUCCUGACAACCGUGUGGUCAAAAGUUAUUAAAAUCAAGAGUUUUCAUAAAACUACCUGGGAGUGAUCGUGCGUCCAGUUUGGACAAUAUUGGACAAAACUCCAUAUAUAUAUAUAUAACUCCAAGGAACAUUGAUAUUUCUGGCUAGAAAUGUUUAUUCAUGAUGCUUGUGUAGGCCUAUAAGUAAUGCCAUGCAGUGAUUUUCGAAAAAGUAUAGCGCCACCUAUUGGCUUAGGUCAAUGUAAAUUUCUACAGUUAGAUGUCCCUCUCCUCGCCCUUUAAUCUGAUCCACUUCAAAUCUGGGAAUAAGACUAAAGACUGUGAUGAUAGGUUACAGUGAAUAUUGAGAGUUUUGGACCAACUUUGUUGCCGUGACGACGCCAUCUUCGCAUGAAAGUUCAAGCACAUCUUCUGAGCCUCAGCACACUCCAAAACUCUUGAAAACCUCUGUGAGUGUCCUGCGUGAUGACCUUCACAGACAGGAUGUGGAGUUUUGGAUCAAAAGCGAAAAAUUGCCUCCAUAGCACCCCCUGGAAGUUUUCGACGAAGCAGCGCCGGCACCCUGUUUGACCUACAAGUAUGCUAAUUUUAACUUUAAAAAGUCUCUGAGGACUAUGCUCUAAAACAAACACGAAGUCAGUUAUACUUUUUUUAGUGUGAAUAUUCCCUGUAUUUUUUUGCAGAGAGGCUUGAACCCUAUAUAAGGGACGUUUUGAUCCCACAUUUUCAAGUGAGCCCCUAGCCCUAAGCAUUGCUCCAAGUCUUUCCCCUAGGGAUCAUGUGUCGAUUCCCGACAGAAAUGUUUGAAUUUUUUUUCUUUUCCUUUUCCCGCGUGUCCGGCUGAUCUAACGAACAAAGGGAUUCAGUUUACUCUCCUUGGUGAGGUUAUUGACUUAAAUUUGUUCACUUUAGAACAGGGGUCUAAAACUCAUUUCAGGUUAGGGCCAGAUGCCGCUGCUGGGCACAUACGAACAGCACCAACAGCUGACUGAGGGAAGGAGACGCGGGGCGCUGGCGGUAGGCACUCCGCUGGCGGACGGGGCAGCCGGUAAUCGCGAGUUCGACAUAUCUAACGUAGACAAAUAACACGGACAGUUCAAUAUAAUUACAUCAAUGGAUUUAAAUACUCAUAGUCUCGCGUGAGUUUGCCAGUGGAGCCCGUGGCUGUGUUGAACAGCCACAGGUCGUAUCGCUCGUCCGGAUUUUAUUUUUUACACUGCUAACUACACACCUAUGCUUACAUCCACACGGACUCAACCAAGUGGAAACGCUUUGGACGGUGAGUGAUUACUUUUUCUUUGUGCGAUCUCUAGUCUUACCCACUUAUACUGUAAACAUGCUAACAAUGCCUCGUUGCUAACAGCAGUUUGAGGGACAACGCUACUAGUUUGGCUACGGAGUUAAUUGUCAACAUUAAUGUGCCUGUCAUGAUAUGAGGCCAGACGUGAGUCGUGUUCCACAUUCAAGAGGGUUUUUAUUUAGCACAGCCCAGAGCAACCUAAGCUAUACUUGAACAACAACAACAAUAACUAGCAUACGUCAAACUACGGUAGCUUUACACGGACAAAAGACACCUAUUCACGCUAUUAACGCCACUUUGUUUACAUUUCCGUGUGCCCUAAAUAAGUUGGGCCGAUUGAAACACUUUAUUUACACACUGUGAUGCCACUGUCCUCGCAGCAGCUAACUAUAACUAGUUAAUUGUCUACAAUCUGCACGCAGCGUGCGUCUUCAAUGCUUUUCAAUAUGUUACAUAUAUUUAGUUCCUUCACAAUGAGCAUGAAUCUAAGAUUAAAUGAUAUGAUUAAUAGAGAUGAGCGAGUACAGCAUUAUCUGUAUCUGUAUCUGUAUCUGUUGAACCAUAUGAAUUAUCUGUAUCCGUAUCCGUACUCGGACUGGGUGGGGCCUAACCCGGAAGUAGGAAGGAUUUACGCCGUAAAUUGUCGGGUUAAGCCUUUCUGCGGUUAAAACAGCAUUCCUUCUUAAUUCUUAUCACUGCUGAUCAUGAGAGAGAGAGGAAGUGUGUGUGUGGCUUAAUUUGUAAUAUCAAUAUUUAGUUAUUCAACACAACUAGUCAACGUCAGACACUGAGUGCGUGAAGAGAGCCAGCAGACGGUAAAAAAAACUGAUGAGAGAGAGAGGGGGAGAGAGACAGAGAGGGAGAGAGACAGAGACAGAGGGAGAGAGAGGUCAGUGCGUGAAGUAAAAGAAAAAAAACUGGUUAGAGCCGACUGAAGAAAAAAAACUCUGACAGGCAGAGACGCAACGCGAGUCGCAUUCUUAAGCACCACGUCUCAACAAGCCCCACGUUUACCUGAACUCUACUAGUUAAGAACAACAAACCAAAGUAAAAAAAAAUAAGGGCGAAGAAAUCGUUUAAAUUUAUCGGGAAAGACCCGCGAACCUGGUGACUGAGGAAGGGAGAGAGGAGUUAUGUGUAUGUGUGAGCCGAGCGGGACACAGGGACACAAACAGUGUGUGUGUAGGGGAGGGGCGCUGUGACUACCAGCCAAUCACAGAACGCAGACACAGACAGCUACCCAAUGAGGACUUUUAUUCAAUCCGAGCACAGAUAUUGACUCGUAUUACUCGUAUAAUACUCGUACUCGGCAAAAGUGCUUUAUCCGUAACAGAUACUCGUUUCAGCCGAGUAUCCGGCUCAUCUCUAAUGAUUAAUAUGCCCCAAAUUCCAAUGAAAUAAUAUCUACACGUCAAGCUCUUUAUAGAGGGGAAACAACAAAUUACUAAACUGUAGAGAUGAGCGAGUACAGCAUUAUCUGUAUGUGUUGAACCAUAUGAAUUAUCUGUAUCCGUAUCCGUACUCGAACUGGGCGGGGCCUAACCCGAAAACGGGCGGGGCCUAACCCGGAAGAAGGAAGGAUUUACCCCGUAAAUUGUCGGGUUAAGCCUUUCUGCGGUUAAAACAGCAUUCCUUCUAAAUUCUUAUCACUGAUGAUCAUGAGAGAGAGGGGAAGUGUGUGUGUGGCUUAAUUUGUAAUAUUCAUAUUUAGUUAUUCAACACAACUAGUCAACGUCAGACACUGAGUGCGUGAAGAGAGCCAGCAGACGGUAAAAAAAACUGAUGAGAGGGAGAGAGAGACAGAGAGAGAGGUCAGUGCGUGAAGUAAAAAAAACAAACUGGCAGAGACGCAAUGCGAGUCGCAUUCUUAAGCACCACGUCUUAACAAGCCCCACGUUUACCUGAACUCUACUAGUUAAGAACAACAAACCGAAGUAAAAACAAAGUAAAGGCGAAGAAAUCGUUUAAAUUUAUCGGGAAAGACCCGCGAACCUGGUGACUGAGGUAGGGAGAGAGGAGUUCUGUGAGUGAGUGAGCCGAGCGGGACACAGCAACACAAACAGUAUGUGUGUAGUGGAGGGGCGCUGUGACUACCAGCCAAUCACAGAACGCAGACACAGACAGCUACCCAAUGAGGACUUUAAUUCAAUCCGAGCACAGAUAUUGACUCGUAUUACUCGUAUAAUACUCGUACUCGGCAAAAGUGCUUUAUCCGUACCGGAUACUCGUUUCAGCCGAGUAUCCGGCUCAUCUCUACUAAACUGUAAACAGUUAAUAUAAGAGCAAAAAAUAUUUUAAUCAAGAUAAAUGUUUUUCAAAAUAUGUGAUUAACUAGUUAAUUGUCUAUAAUCUGUUGACAGCCCUAAUCAUAUUCUGAUAAUACACGUUGGUGCUCAAAUACUUUCAGAUGCCCCGUCCAAAGUCAUGGCACCAGUCUGAGGCCAUCAAUGGGAAUGGCACAUGGGACACGUGGCUUUCAACUCCAGUGAGCACACGGCACAGGUGUGCGUCACCGCGGGCAAUCAUGGCAAAGACCCAAGUCGACUCGACCACAGCGGAAAAUGAUCCUUCCAGAGAAGAAGUAGUUAUUUACUUCUACAAUGAAUGGUUACAACUUCCAGAUGACAGCUCUCCGCUCAUCCUUCUGGGCAACUUGAACAUCCGACAGAACUUAUGUGACCUACUGCGUUUAUUUUCUUCUUUAGCUCUCAUUUUAGUAUUAAUAUUCCGAACUUGCGACCCGCUGCCGACUGGCUGCACUGUCCAGACCAGUCGGAGUGCGUACCGCCAGCGGAGUGCGUACUGCCAGCACCCCCUCUCCCUCCCCCAGUCAGCUGUUCGCAUUGAUCGUAUGUGCCCCGCAGCAGAAUCUGGCCCGAACCUGAAAUGAGUUUGACACCCCUUCUCUAAAGUGUAAAAAUUUUAGGAAAGGACAGUUAUCUGGGUCCAUUUGUGUGUUGUAUCAGCCAGACACGCAUUUAAAAAGAAAACGGUGGGCAAAAAUGUCCCCAGAGGGAGCACUUAAGGAGGCGCUAGAGAGUACUUUUUUAUUUCCCCUAAUUGCGGGACCACAAGAAUAUCUUAAUUUUUCGCACUUCUGAAGCGCUUGCAAAAAUUCAAGACUUUUUGAAAUAUGGUAAGGGCCCCAAAAGUGCGAUUGAAGUGGUGAAAUAAUAAGAGGAAUUCUUCGAAACACAAUAGGUCUUCGCCCGACUUUCAGUCGGCUCAGGCCCUAACAAGACAGAGACCCAAACCGUGACACUGGCAUUGACAAUUAACAGUGGUUACCUCCAGAUUAUGGUUGUAUGUAUACCCUAUAGAGCAGUGGUUCUCAACUGGUCUGGCUUCGGGACCCACCAUCACCCCUUAAUGACAAGCCGCGACCCAAAUCGAGGAACAUUCUCAACUUCUAAAAUGUAUUCAAAAUCAAGUUCAUAAGCUGAAUUUCAUAUUUUAUAUUCAGGAUGUUUAAUUAUCCUAAAAACCCAAUGUCUUCCCCAUAUCAGAAUGGUUUGACCCAACCUGGCACACCCUGCUGAAAACAUGGACGGACGGCAAAAAAACCCACACUUGUGAUUUUUUUUUUUUUUUAAUUCAAAUUUUUAUUUUCCCAUGCAGAGGCCCGCGACCCAUUAAAAACGGGUCCGCACCAGUUGAGGAUCACUCCUAUAGUGAUUGAAUACGAAUAGAAAAAAGCGCUUGCAUGCACACUGGAGGUAGAGAGAGACAGCACUGCAGAGUUAUGCAAGACCUCCUGCUGAGUGUCUACAUAAUUAACGUACCAGAGCCCUAAAAAAUACACUGUGUUCAGAUUUAAAGACACACUGGUGUCAUUUGCAGAACUGCAGUUAACAAUUGCCGUAGUAAACAACAAAAUGAGCUCAGUCCAAGCUCAGGACUUCUGAGGGAUUCAAAAUUCAACAAGAUUGUCUCGUUUCUGGAUUGAUGCCAGUCUGAGCAAUGUUUGCCAAAACACAACCAAUACACAAUCUUAAGAUACAACAUUUUAUUAUUGUCAGUCUUAAAUAUGACCACACACUUUUCGUCAAGAAAAUACAUAGAAACCAACAAUCCUUUACAAUGCAAAGAGUCAAAUAACUUUGGGACCCCCUUCACUUGGAAACAUUCCAAAUUUGAAGGGAGCCCUGUGAACUUGUAACCAAAUCCUCUAUUGGUGAAUCAUUCAAAAUAAACCCCAACAGAUCAUGAGACUACCCCAUUUGUCUGCCAUGAUAGUCCCACGAUAGCUGAAUUAAAGGUAGGAUUUGUGCAACCAAAGUUCACAUCCAAAAAUGAUCUCUUCUAAGUGCAAGUGUCACAAAACACCUGAAAUGAAAAGUACUAUCUGAUAGUUGCAAUACAAGUCCGCUUUCUUAACUGGUAUCAAAUAUUCUUAAGAGAGAAUAGGAUCUUGCCUUGGCCAUAUGGAGACAAAAAAAGCUAGACCCAUGGCCUCCUUCGAUCUCAGUGCAAUCCUGUUUUCGAACAGAAAUUGGAAUUGGUCAAAUCGGCAUAAGUUUGCUGCGCUACUGCCAAAAUAUCAGCCUUCUUCUUGGUGCAGUUUCCUUGCUGGGUUGUGGGGUUGGAUCAGGAAUGUCCAAAAUCCUCUACCUCUACAAUCAAUAUAAGUCUGGUUUGAACAGGACUUGCAGUGUGUAUAUUUUUUCAAUGCUUAAUGGGAGAUGCUUCCAUAUAAAGGAAGCACAGACUUUGUGUUUGCCAUGGAGAAAGAAACUGCAGUACACUUGUUGACAAAGAGAGAGAUGGUAGAGUGUUCCCAAUCAUGACAGUUCAAUGUCAACAGCUGCUGUGUUUUGUUUAAUCCUUUAAUGCAGCUAGAAAAAUCAAUGUUUUAGUUUUAACUUCAUUUAACUGUUUUUUCAUCGACAGGGUGCAUCGCACUGGGUGUGACUUCUAGAGUAGAGGAGGAGUCCUGCUAACGGGACAACAGGGAUGAGAGCUUUCUUACAGCAACCAAGAGCUUUAGAGUUUUCUCAACUAUAUGAGCCAUGACAUUGAAAAUGGCUGUGACACGCAACACAAAACAUCCCGCUGUCUCACAAACUGAAAUGUGAUUGUGUUUGUUGAACUCCUCUGCAAUCCUGUCUCAUCUAUCCUUGAGGCUGCCUUGCCCAUAAUGCAGAGAGGAAACUGGUGCCAAGUAGUGCAAAAGGCCUCAGGUCAUAAAGUAAUCCAAAUGAAGCCUUUAAAGAGACAGCCUUUAAAGAGACAGUCUGCAUAGGUUUUCUCUACAUGCCUUCUGUUGUAAUAUGUUUGGCACAGCAGGAAUUUGAGAACAAGAAAAUUAAGAUCGUACCUUUCUGUUAGCUGCAUGUGGGCAAGGCCAAAAGUUUAGAAAUAUGAUCUAGCAGAAUACCCAGUCAGGAUGUGACAGUGCUAACUUUUUUCCAUCUCCUUUGAUAAAGGGAGGAUACCCCAUCCUCAGAUCAGAGAUCAGACUGCUCUCGAUGUGGCUUCCUCAGCUCAGUGCUUCACUGUGACCGCAUAUCUCAUCAAACCCUCAUCAACAACGCCUAUUUGACAUUGAUAACAUGCCAUAGUAACAAGAUGGAAUUGCUAUUAUUAGGUGGAUUCUUAGGUGAAGCCAAAUAGGAAUCUCAUUACCACUGGUUGUGAAGAAAACACCCUCAUUAUUUUUCAUUUAAUCUGGAAAUAUAUUUUGUCGGCAGCCCUCCUGGGUUAUAUUUGCUCUAAAGGUGUACGCUGACAAGGGUUUGUUCUCAGUGAUAGUGUGCUUUUCUCGAACUUAAACUAUAUUUGAUAUGACAUGAAAUAAACAACAUGUUACUUAUUAUUGAGAACAAAGCAAUGGAAUACAGCUGUCAGCCAAGUACUCUGAGACUCCUGGAGAAACUCACAGUGGUCUAGCAUUAGUGUGAACAGUACAGCCUACAUUAAUGCACACCCAGGACCAUAUGUAAAUAUUACUUUAUGGUGCUGAUUGCUGCGAUGAUAAAUAAUUAAGCAACUUCCUGCACAAUUGCUCAGAGGUAGUAAAAAGAAAAAGGUUGUGUGCUUGCCUGUGCUAUAAAAUAAACAAGAGUCUGUAUUACAUCAGUAAAAUAUGUGUUUAUGAACAGAUGUUUCGAGGCAAAUAAUAAAGCAUGGUGUACAGCACAUUUCCAAUCUCAAUGCAGUGAGGCUGUGAUUGUUAAUGCAUAUUGUGGCAUUAUAGACAAGGGCUCAGUGGUGCCAUGCUUUCUAGCCAGAAGGAAUAAUUACCAUGUAAUUAUCAAACAUUACUGUGCUAGAGAUGAAUAAUAGUCUCUCUAUCUCAUUGUAUUGUGUGUGACAACAAAGUGUGAUUAGCCCGUCAGAUUCAGCUACUGAUUACUUAGAUCAAUUUCAAUAAUGCUGUUUCACAAACCGUGUUGUCUCUAAAAAGUCAAAAUGAUGCUAGAGGAGUUAAAAAUAUAUCUUGAAGUGGGAACACAUGAAGAAGGACUACAACAUCACCAGAGCUGUGUUAAGCCAGGGGAAAAACAAAAGGGGAGCUGAGGGAUAAUAAGAAGCGCGCCAUUUCCCCGCCACAAGCUAAUUUGAUGGCAUUUGCUAUCCCCGCUUGAUGUUGUGUUAAUGGAAUUCUGCAAAUCCUAUGGGCCUGCACAGUUAAAUGACGUGCAGUGCAGCCAGAAGAUGGUUGUGUUUGUAAGUUCACAAUUACAACCGGCAAUGCAUUUUGCAAUAGAGGCAUGAUGUUUAAAACCUGAGUGUGGCAGUUGGUGUGAAUAGUUUGCCCACCCAACAGACCAUAAAAAGACAAAACACCUUCUUGGAAUUCUUACUGGUGUUGUGUUAGAGGUUUGUUAUUGUUGCAUAAAAUCCUUACGCUCACAAAUGAAAUAUGGUAACAGAGUUUCCUGCUCGUCAAAAUGCUACUGAAAUGCUGUGUGCUCUGAUUCUCCUCCAUAAGACACACAAAAGAUUUCUUUGUUUUGUUGUCUGACCAGCCACAAGUUAGGAAAUAAGAACAAAUGUAGUGUUUUUUUUGUUACCCGGACCUCUCAUCACGUUUCAUCACGGUUAUUGGAAUUAGCUUGCAUUCUCUGCAGUAAGCCUGCAAUUAAUUUUUUUUUAAUAAAAGCUGGGAACA